rnacentral:misc_RNA from 1 species
AGUGAUUGACUUUCCAUAACAAUCCACAAUAGUUGACAAAACACAUCGAACAACAUUGCAAUGCACAUCACCUAAAUCUAGCUCACCCUUCCCAAAAUACUCUCUAGGUCAUAUAACUUCUUCCUUAUAGUCUGAGGAAUCAUUAUGUUCACCCUCAUGCUCAUGUUUGCAUGCUUGCUCUAAAGCUAAUGAAUGAUGUGGGCAUUGAGAAGUAAUAUGACCUUUAUCGUGUAUCAUGACCUUUAUUUAUUCCUAAAUAAAAUAAAACUCUACUUCCCAUUUUUUAUCUAAAAUAGGUAGUCCUAAAAUCUCUAGAAAAUGCUACAUCACUAAGUGCAAAGGAACUAUAUCCUCCAGGCAUCAAUAGACCUUGUAAUUAUUGUACAAUCAAUAAUUAGGACAUAGGAACAACAAACGUAAUUUUAAUUAUGUACCUAGACGUAGAAAGGUAGAAGAAAAAGAGUUUUGUAGUGUCUUAGGCUCAAUGUACAUGUCCCUAUAUAAGCAAAAAAUAGAAUGUUAGUAACGUUCAAGAGAGGAAAAAUAAAAGAGACAUUAUGUAACAUUAAUAAAAUAGCUAAGUACCAAAAAAAUGGAGUUCAGUUUUGGCUAGGUAGAGAAAAAAUAGGAAUCUAGUUUUAACUAGGUCAAAAACAUGUUUUUAGGUAAGGAUAUUUCUUUGGAAAAAUAUAAAUGAAAAUAAAAGGCUAUGAAAAAGGAAACUGGAUCAAGUCCUCGCGAAUUAUACGCACGUCCACCCGUUACACUUGGCUAGGCCCAUCCUUGUGCGCACGAGUCCACCAACUCUUGUAGUUCUUCAAAAGCCUAUGUAGGUGUCUCCCAAUGUAAAGUGGGGAAAUUGUGUUAGGGUUUGAGA